rnacentral:rRNA from 1 species
GCAUCGAUGAAGAACGCAGCGAAAUGCGAUAAGUAAUGUGAAUUGCAGAAUUCAGUGAAUCAUCGAAUCUUUGAACGCACAUUGCGCCCCUUGGUAUUCCAUGGGGCAUGCCUGUUCGAGCGUCAUUUGUACCUUCAAGCUCUGCUUGGUGUUGGGUGUUUGUCUCGCCUCUGCGCGUAGACUCGCCUCAAAACAAUUGGCAGCCGGCGUAUUGAUUUCGGAGCGCAGUACAUCUCGCGCUUUGCAUUCAGAACGACGACGUCCAAAAGUACAUUUUUACACUCUUGACCUCGGAUCAGGUAGGGAUACCCGCUGAACUUAAGCAUAUCAAUAAGCGGAGG